rnacentral:sRNA from 1 species
CAACAGAGCAAACUCCAUCUCAAAACAAAACAAAAAAACCAAAAAUCAAAACUUAAAAAACAAAAAACUGCUGGUGGGCUGGGUGUGGUGGCUCACUCCUGUAGUCCCAGCACUCUGGGAGGAUUGCAUGAGCCCAGGAGUUUGAGGCUGCAGGGAGCUAUGAUGGUGCCACUGCACUCCAGCUUGGGCAUCAGAGUGAGACCUUAUCUCAAAAAUAAAUAAAUAAAGGGAAGGGAAGGAAAGGAAGAAGAAAAUAAAGAAAAACUGCUGGUGGAUGAACAACAGCCUCAUUCAGUUGACUUCUUUUUCCUUCACCAAGACUGACUGGAGCUCUCCCGUGUCAGCUCGUAGCACAGAAGGUGAAGAGCCUGCUGUGGGGCCAGGGCUUCCCAGAUUACGUGGCCCCUUUUGGAAAUUCCCAGGCCCAGGACAUGCUGGACUGGGUGCCCAUCCACUUCAUCACCCAGUCAUUCAACAGGAAGGAUUCCUGCCAGCUCCCAGGGGCUUUGGUUAUAGAAGUGAAGUGGACUAAAUACGGAUCCCUGCUGAAUCCACAGGCCAAAAUAGUCAAUGUAACUGCAAAUCUAAUUUCAUCCUCCUUUCCUGAGGCCAACUCAGGAAAUGAAAGGACGAUUCUUAUUUCCACUGCGGUUACUUUUGUGGAUGUG